rnacentral:rRNA from 1 species
UACGUAGGGUGCGAGCGUUGCCCGGAUUUAUUGGGCGUAAAGGGCGCGUAGGCGGCUCGGCACGUCCGUUGUGAAAUCGCCCGGCUCAACUGGGCGGGGUCGGCGGAUACGGCCGAGCUGGAGCAAGCUAGGGGGUAAUGGAAUUCCCGGUGUAGUGGUGGAAUGCGUAGAUAUCGGGGAGGAACACCAGUGGCGAAGGCGGUUACCUGGAGCUUUGCUGACGCUGAUGCGCGAAAGCGUGGGGAGCGAUCCGG